GCUCCCACGACCAGCAGACAGACCCUGUGAUUUGCGUGACCGCCAUUUUGCUGCCCACAGUAGACAUAACUGUACAGCACUGCAGCUGCCCCGAUGGGCGAAUGCAAAUACGAGCGCCGCCUUGUUACAAAGACGACUCUCAUCACAUGAAUAAACGCCCCCCAAAAACAAGAGCGGCUCAAUCAAAUGAGACUUCGAAAGCGACACAGUGGUGGAAAAGCAGAAACGUGAGAUAUUCAAUUUCACAGCGCUUCAGUCUGAUUACAUAAACAGAUCCGAACAGUAUUCACCAGGUUAUCGGAUCUCUGGGUGAAAUAUUUCCAGCUGAUCCUUCAGCAGAUCUAUCGUUUCUGUCUCACUCUGUAUUCCUUUGAAAUAACACUGAUAUCAUUCUUCACCAGGAGAAUUUAUCACCUAUUUAUCGUGUCAUGUGCGGCUAAUUUAACCAUUUCCCCCAUUUGUUUAGCGCCAUGGUAACCAGACACCAACGUGCAUGAAUAUGAGACUAUUACGAUGGCGGUGUGUCUAGAGUUUGUUGGGCCUAUGGAUCCCUUUUUAAUUAAAGCCUGUGAGCAUGUCUGAGCUGCUCUAUUUGCUUAAUGCUUUCAUCUGUGUAUUAUGUAUGUGUGUGUGUCUGUGUGUGUGUGCGUGACAGAGCUCUGAUUCUAAAACAGCUUUGACUUAAUCUUUCAGUACAGUGUCACAUUUGCAUGCAAGGGAAUCACACGCAAACACGCCAUAUGGCACAGAACGACCACACUCUUGAUCUCAGGGAGCGAUCAGACAUGUUUCAGCACGCCAAAACCCACAACCUAAAAAAAAACAACCCACACACUUAUGCCCCAAAACACGCUAAAACACGAACGCGCUUCUGCUUGAACGUCAUCUACGCCGUCGCUUCAUACGAGCAAUUACCAGAGCGUGCAAACGACCUGACGGUUUGGAGGUUAUGCAAAUGCAAUUAGCCCUGAUUUGCAUUGGACAACAGCUAACGGAUGCACAGAUGGCAGGCGACAGAGUUGCGCCCGCCAUCUUUGGCAGAGUGGGAAGACUGGCGGCCAUUUUGUCUGAAUCUGUGCCCAUCUGGAUGGGAACAGGCGUACUGCAUCGCUGUGAUGACGAGCUGUGGGUGCUGCUGCUGCUGCUGCUGCUGCACACUGGCAAACCCGUUCAAAUGGGAGCGUAUACAGACCACUUACACACACAAACAGAGCGCUCUGUGCUGGAGAAUACAGAAACACGUUUUUUCAACUGAUCAGAGGGGUUUGAUGAAAAUAUGCCGAUUAACUUUUUU